rnacentral:lncRNA from 1 species
UAGUAGUCCUGCUGAUUCGUGCAUAUUUUCUAAAGAAUUGUGGGUUUGAUGAUAAAAGCAUGUAAUUUUGCACAAGGGUAAACAUGUAUAUUGUGGUCAAUUCAGGCUAUGGACCCACUCUGAAAAAUUCAAAAUGGCGGAAUUUUUCAAGAUGGCGGACAAGUGCUAUAAAUUUCACUAAUUUGUAAAAAAAAAAGCAAAAGAAUUUGAAUCUAAAUCUUUUUAAUGUAAAUACAAC